rnacentral:misc_RNA from 1 species
GCCCGUGUGUCACACACAGAUGUUAUGUGCACCGUAUAACCUACAUAACCAAGUUUGGUGCAUCAUUGGUGCGGAAUUGACAAAAAAUGACAUUCUUAAAGUCAUGGCCAGAGUUUGAAAAAGCUGUGGAACAUCUGUAUCUUGCAAAUCCCAUGAAGGUGAGAUACACAAUGAAGUAUGUCCAUUCGGACGGAGCACUUGUGGUGAAGAUAACCGACGACGUCAAGUGCGUGCAGUUUAAGACGGACUCUCAGAGUGAUCUGAAGAACAUCAACGUCCUAGUGGCCAACCUCAUGAGGCAUAUGGCGUCAAAAGAGGAGUGAUGCUGUGGUGUGAGACGAGUGUUGACAAUGUGACGAGCGCGCGUGGAGGUCGGCGUCGUCGGGUACGGCAGACUGAAGACGGCCGAUGGUGGCAGAUAAAAGUCUAACGGAGGCGCGGACGGACGGCCGGCAGUGGCAGGCUGGAACUCGGUGUUUGCAGAUAGUCGAUCGCGGAUGAUGAAAGGCGGUCAGCGGUGGCAAUGGUGACAAAUGUGAAGCAGAUGUUGACAGAUGGACUGUUGAAUGUGACGUGUGAACGGCAUAUGUGCAUGGGCAGGAGCUGUUGCCCUGCUGAAGGCUCUCACCUGUUGACUGAUGUGACCACUGAGUGUAUAUAAUGUCGUGCGCCACUAUGACGUCGGGGACGUCGGCGACGAGCGGCGGUGGACCGUGCCGCGGGGUAUUUAUGGGGUGUCAGGUUGACUAGGCUUGCCAGAGUUUUGAUUUUGUUUUCACUCAAUCAGUUGCCUUCUUUCUCGCUGUGGUGUGCGGUUUGUCCAUAGCAGAGUGAAAUAAUAUAUGAACUAGUGGUGGACAGGCA